rnacentral:rRNA from 1 species
GACGAAGGAUGCAAGCGUUAUCCGGAUUCAUUGGGUUUAAAGGGCGCGUAGGCGGCCUUGUAAGUCAGUGGUGAAAUCUUUCCGCUUAACGGAAAAACUGCCAUUGAUACUGCUUGGCUUGAGUACAGAUGCUGUGGGCGGAAUAUGACAUGUAGUGGUGAAAUUCGUAGAUAUUCGCAAGAACACCAGUGGCGAAGGCGGCUCACUGGCCCGGUACUGACGCUGAGGUGCGAAAGCGUGGGGAGCAAACAGG